UACGUAGGUGGCAAGCGUUAUCCGGAAUUAUUGGGCGUAAAGCGCGCGCAGGUGGUUUCUUAAGUCUGAUGUGAAAGCCCACGGCUCAACCGUGGAGGGUCAUUGGAAACUGGGAGACUUGAGUGCAGAAGAGGAAAGUGGAAUUCCAUGUGUAGCGGUGAAAUGCGUAGAGAUAUGGAUGGAACACCAGUGGCGAAGGCGACUUUCUGGUCUGUAACUGACACUGAGGCGCGAAAGCGUGGGGAGCAAACAGG
rnacentral:rRNA from 1 species